AGAGUUUGAUCCUGGCUCAGGAUGAACGCUAGCGGCAGGCCUAACACAUGCAAGUCGAGGGGUAACAGGGAUUGCUUGCAAUCCGCUGACGACCGGCGCACGGGUGCGUAACGCGUAUACAAUCUGCCUUUUGCUGAGGGAUAGCCCAGAGAAAUUUGGAUUAACACCUCAUGGUAUGUAUAGAUGGCAUCAUCAUUACAUUAAAGGUCACGGCAAAAGAUGAGUAUGCGUCCUAUUAGCUGGAUGGUGUGGUAACGGCACACCAUGGCAACGAUAGAUAGGGGCCCUGAGAGGGGGAUCCCCCACACUGGUACUGAGACACGGACCAGACUCCUACGGGAGGCAGCAGUGAGGAAUAUUGGGCAAUGGAGGCAACUCUGACCCAGCCAUGCCGCGUGCAGGAAGACUGCCCUAUGGGUUGUAAACUGCUUUUAUACAGGAAGAAACAGCUCUACGUGUAGAGCCUUGACGGUACUGUAAGAAUAAGGAUCGGCUAACUCCGUGCCAGCAGCCGCGGUAAUACGGAGGAUCCAAGCGUUAUUCGGAAUCAUUGGGUUUAAAGGGUCCGUAGGUGGAUAAUUAAGUCAGAGGUGAAAUCCUGCAGCUCAACUGUAGAAUUGCCUUUGAUACUGGUUAUCUUGAGUUAUUAUGAAGUAGUUAGAAUAUGUAGUGUAGCGGUGAAAUGCAUAGAUAUUACAUAGAAUACCAAUUGCGAAGGCAGAUUACUAAUAAUCAACUGACACUGAUGGACGAAAGCGUAGGGAGUGAACAGGAUUAGAUACCCUGGUAGUCCACGCCGUAAACGAUGGUCACUAGCUGUUCGGACUUCGGUCUGAGUGGCUAAGCGAAAGUGAUAAGUGACCCACCUGGGGAGUACGUUCGCAAGAAUGAAACUCAAAGGAAUUGACGGG
rnacentral:rRNA from 1 species